UUCCUGUUUUUUAAAUUGUUUCCUUUGUAGACGUCACAGCGGAUCCAUUCUAUUGACAGCGGCUCACCCCAAAGACAUUGCCAUGACGAUAGCUCAGAUUGUCAAGAAAUAUCCAGAGUAGGUGAAGAACAACUUGAAGAAAACCAGUUGGGCAAUAUGUUGAUACAACUGCUAACACACAGCAAUAGGCUAUGCAUAGCCCUAACCAAAGAGCAAUACACCUAGGACAUUACCUCUCCACAUACUGCAGCCCCACUCAUUGUGGAAUGAUGUGAGCAUGUAUCUACCAUGAAGCACCUCUUUACGGCCGCUAGGUAGUCUCGGACCACGCCCAUAUGCAAUUCAGCACAAUGACGCUCCACAGUAAGGAGCUUUCAAUUGCACGACGAUGGUAGAACGUACAACGUAAUGACGUCACUAAAAGUCAUCUGCGCAUGCGAGAACGUUAAGGUCACCUCAUCGAGCAGAUUCUGGAACGCAAUUUCGCCAAAUCUACGUAGGGAAUGUAGGACAUUCAGGCAUGAGUGAUUCCGUUAUAGCGUCGCCUCAUCGCACAAAUCGAAAGCUUCCUAAUUACUUCCUACACCCUACGAAGUACCACCUUUCUGCCCGACAUCAUGGCAACUGGCAUUUCAGGCACCAUCCUUAUGGAAGGCUCAGUGGUAUCCUACAACUCAUCUGAAGUGCUCUGUGUAGCAUCUGCCUUCUGGUGUGCACAAUGCCACCGUACACCAAAAAUAAAUGUUUGAUUUGAUAGUGCCUAAGACAACACAAGUAUGAUUAUUAAAAAUUAGGAUAAAGAGGUUGUAAAAGCAGGUUUAUAUUUUGAAUUGAAUUGAAUAGUUAAAUACAGUACUGUAUAUGCACCUCAUUAAAUGAAUUAAAUUACUUCUGAGUGUGAUUUUGAGAACCAUUCUGAUUACUACUAAAGAUUCCAAUGAAAAUGUCAAAUUACUAUUUUUGUAAAAUUACUAUUGCUAAUGAAAACAGCGGUGGUGAUAAUGAAAACAGCGGUAGCAGUGUUGAAGAUGGUAAUGGAGCAUUGGUGGGUGAUGUUUGGAGAUGAUGCUUCGAUAGUCGUGAAUGAUGACGGUCGUGUGUGUGUUGUCCAUUAUGAUGAUGGUGGUGGUACUGUAGGUUGUAAUUGAUGAUGGCUGUGGUGGUGGUUAAUAAAUGACGAUGAUGGCAGUCAGUGGUGGUUGUGGAUGUUAUUAUGACAACGAUGACGAAAAUGAUGAUGAGGAGGAAGAUGAUGUGAAAAACAUUAAUGAUGUUGCUGAUAGUGAGUAUCGCAGUGGCAACGGUAAUGUUUACAAUUACCGAUCAUCACAGUGACGACAAUGGCGACAACGAUGCCAGUGUUACUGGUAGUGGCGGUGAGAGUGGUGGUGAUGGGUUGGUAGAUGAUAAUGAAUGUUGAUGUUGGUAGCUGUGGUUGAUGUUUUAAGACUGUGUGUAUGACGAUGAUGUUGACGAUGUCGCCGGUGGUGUUAGUGUGAUGAGGUGAAAAAUGUCAAUAGAUGAUGAAUUAGUGGUUGACCAUAAUGGUAAUAAAUAAAUGAUUUAUAAACAAAUAUAUUCUUAGAAUUGACAUUUUUUAUGUCCCUCAAUUUUGCAAUUGCUCAAAUGUUAAGUGGGUUAUCACUGUUUACCAUCUUUGUAGUAUAUAAAUAAAUGAAUUAUCAGAAAAUAA